GUGCCCUUGGUGUACGGUAACACACGUCUUCAUGGUAUGCUCAUCAGCCACUUAAUUCAAGACGAGUCCGGGGUUCGACUCCCCGAGGGCGUA